CAGUCUUCUACCCCCUCCCCUCCCUUUUCAUUCAUUUCCCCAUACUUUCUCACAGCCCUCCCCCACUUGCAUUUUAAGGGCCAGGGUGGAGGUGGAAGGACAGUUGGGGGUGCCCGGAGUACAAUAAAGAGAAGGAACUGCAGACGCCCCAAGUCAGACCUUGCAGCGGCGCGACUGAGCCCCGGAGCCCAUGUCUGCGCGCGCCGGGCAGGGCGCGGGCUGAGAGCAAGGGGCGGGGGGGAGCGGUCGGUGCCCGGAGGAGGGGCGGCGGCAGCGGUGGCUGCCGCGGGAGCUGCAGCUGCUGCAGUGUCCGCUCAGGAGGGAGAGGGAGAGACAGAGACAGAGACAGAGACAGAGGCUGGAGAUUGCGCAGCCCCGAGGAGGCCGUGCCCGUGCCCGUGCCCGCGCCCGCCACGGCAGAACUGCGGCAAACACCCAGGAUCUUUUCUGUCGUUGUUUGUUCAAGAACUCUUCCCUUAUCCAUAGCUGUGAAAGGUAUCAGGACCAUAUUUGUCUCAUUGAAGGAGUUUGGUAGGAUGUCUUCCUUCUCUAUUUUGUCAAACAAUUUAUGUGAAAGAAUCAGUAUUUGUUUGAAUAUUUGAUAAACUCUAUAAAUAUAUCUGCCUCUUGUCCCCUUUUUCGAUUUUGAUUUUUGAAUUUAGUUUUAUCAAAUUAACUAGUGAUUUGCUUUGAUUUUUAAAAAAUCAAGUUUUAUUUUAUUUCUGUAAUUUUCUUUUGUUUUCAGUUUUGCCUACCUCUUUGAUUUUUAGAAUUUUUAUUUUGUAUUUAGUUGGAGAUUUUGAUUUGUUGCUUUUCAAGUUUUUCUUUUAGUUGCAUGCCAAAUUCAUCAAUUCACUCUUUCUCUUAUUUGUAAAAAUGUUCAGAGAAUAAAUUUUACCCCAAGGACUUCUUUGUAUACGUU
rnacentral:lncRNA from 1 species